rnacentral:rRNA from 1 species
AGUCGAGCGAGCUUGCCUAGAUGAAUUUGGUGCUUGCACCAGAUGAAACUAGAUACAAGCGAGCGGCGGACGGGUGAGUAACACGUGGGUAACCUGCCCAAGAGACUGGGAUAACACCUGGAAACAGAUGCUAAUACCGGAUAACAACACUAGACGCAUGUCUAGAGUUUAAAAGAUGGUUCUGCUAUCACUCUUGGAUGGACCUGCGGUGCAUUAGCUAGUUGGUAAGGUAACGGCUUACCAAGGCAAUGAUGCAUAGCCGAGUUGAGAGACUGAUCGGCCACAUUGGGACUGAGACACGGCCCAAACUCCUACGGGAGGCAGCAGUAGGGAAUCUUCCACAAUGGACGCAAGUCUGAUGGAGCAACGCCGCGUGAGUGAAGAAGGGUUUCGGCUCGUAAAGCUCUGUUGGUAGUGAAGAAAGAUAGAGGUAGUAACUGGCCUUUAUUUGACGGUAAUUACUUAGAAAGUCACGGCUAACUACGUGCCAGCAGCCGCGGUAAUACGUAGGUGGCAAGCGUUGUCCGGAUUUAUUGGGCGUAAAGCGAGUGCAGGCGGUUCAAUAAGUCUGAUGUGAAAGCCUUCGGCUCAACCGGAGAAUUGCAUCAGAAACUGUUGAACUUGAGUGCAGAAGAGGAGAGUGGAACUCCAUGUGUAGCGGUGGAAUGCGUAGAUAUAUGGAAGAACACCAGUGGCGAAGGCGGCUCUCUGGUCUGCAACUGACGCUGAGGCUCGAAAGCAUGGGUAGCGAACAGGAUUAGAUACCCUGGUAGUCCAUGCCGUANACGAUGAGUGCUAAGUGUUGGGAGGUUUCCGCCUCUCAGUGCUGCAGCUAACGCAUUAAGCACU